rnacentral:rRNA from 1 species
UGGGGAAUUUUGCGCAAUGGGCGAAAGCCUGACGCAGCAACGCCGCGUGAGUGAUGAAGGCCUUCGGGUCGUAAAGCUCUGACAGAGGGGAAGAAGUGAACUGGUGCUAAUAUCAUUGGUUCUUGACGGUACCCUCAAAGGAAGCACCGGCUAACUCCGUGCCAGCAGCCGCGGUAAUACGGAGGGUGCGAGCGUUAUUCGGAAUUAUUGGGCGUAAAGGGCGCGUAGGCGGCGAGGUAAGUCAAAGGUGAAAUCCCUCGGCUCAACCGAGGAACUGCCUUUGAAACUACCUCGCUCGAGGCCGGGAGGGGGUAGCGGAAUUCCCAGUGUAGCGGUGAAAUGCGUAGAUACUGGGAGGAACACCGGUGGCGAAGGCGGCUACCUGGACCGGUUCUGACGCUGAUGCGCGAAAGCGUGGGGAGCAA